CAAACUUGGGAUACAACUAUAGCAUUGUAGGAGGAACAGGGUUGGAUGAAAGUUUAGAAAAAGUUGAAUUCGAGACAAGUAUUGUGGCUGGCUCUGAUGGUGGAUCCAUUGUUAAGAUUUCAGUGAAAUACCACACCAAAGGUGAUGCAACUCUAUCUGAUGCAGUGCGUGAUGAAACUAAGACCAAAGGAACUGGACUUAUCAAGGCCAUUGAGGGAUACGUUUUGGCAAACCCUAAUUAUUAAGUAAAAUGUAUACUUGGUUGUGUUGUGUCAUACCAAUAAUAAUUGAAGUUUAUGAUAUGGUUGUUUGAUUUAUACAUCACGAUUUCUAGCUUAUACAUGUGUGUGGGCUUUGUUGUUUAAUUACAAAAAUCUAUGUGUUGAUGUUGAGGUUUUGUACCAUCUAUAAUUCUGUAAUAAAUAAUGAAGAAUUUUCUAGCACUUUUCAUUCGGUAUUUUAACUUUAUAUGCCUUGACCAUUAUUGGUACACCAAUUUCCUUUCCUCUUGUUAUCCUUUUUUUUUCUUUCUUUGGAUUUAUUUUUGACUUGUAACACAUAAAAACUCAACUCAUCACUAGCAUGCUUUGAAUUUUACUAUGGCUGAGAAAAAGUAAAAACAUAAUGUGAGUAUGAUAGAGAAAGUUGUCAUAUAAUGGUUAUAUAAAUAUUAUUUCUCUAUCAUAAAUGUAAAGUGGAAGAUAUUGAAUUGAGAGUGAUGAAAUUUGUAUGGGUCUUGUUAACGAGUGCCCCCGAGGGCACUCUUUAAGCAUACUAAAUUAGAAAAUUAUUCUUUAAAAAAUUCAAAUAAUUCAAUUUCCAAUGCAUUGAAUACAUAACUUUUCAUAAAAAGUUACUAUUUAAGACCCUUAAAGAGUGUCCCCAGGGCACUAGUUAACAUUUCUGAAUUAUAGUAUUAAUUAAGAUGUAUAAUUGAAAAAAGAUAGUUAAUUAAUAUUAUAUUAAAAAGUGAAAUUGAUCAUUCAUUUUAGAUCUUUCUUCUUUUUUACAAAUAAAUUACUUAUUGUGGAACAUGAGGAGUAUCAUUUAUGCUCAAACUAAUCAUGCAAACUCUAAUAUAUAUAAACAAUUAUAAAUCAAAUAGACUUCAAUUUGAUAUUCCUUGCACUCGAAUAAUUUGGUAAGAGACAAAUUAAAUAAAGGAAUUUAAGUUUUUAUAAAUAAUCAACAUGUUAUAAGAUACAAUUGUUUGAAAAAGAAGAAUGGUGGUUUGCGGGUUAGGGUCUCUUAGUUAAUCAUCUAUUUCUGUUUCAUGUUUUUUUUUUUAAUAAUUUAUUUCUGUUUCAUGUUAUUUACCAACUUUAUAUUAGUUUUUUUGUAACUUUUUUAGUACAACUUGUGCUGAAAAGAUUUUGGUUAAUGAUAUUCUAUUUUGACAUGCUAAAAAAAAUGAUGAAUGUGAACCCGUUAAAUAAGUAAACGAUAUAGUACAUAGGUUGCAUAUUUUUAAACUUUGCCGUCUUUGAAUUGAAUUCUUGAUGCUUUUGUCCAAGUCAAAUUUCGAUUUUUAAUUCCUUUGCCCAUCUCUUCAUCGGCCAAAACUUCUGAGCUAAUAAGUCAUUGAUCUAUAUCUAUAUAUCUAUCUAAAGAAAAGUCAUUGAGUUGAAAAUAUCAUUUUGAAGAUAUGCUCUACAAUUUAUGGUUUUGAAAAAUAAUACACGCUCUCUAAUAUGGACAGCUUUGUUUUACACACUUAUUAAUCCUACUUAUUAAAGGUGCUACUAGCUAGUAACAGAUGGGAAACUUUUUGUUUCAAGUUUACCAAAUUUAUUUUUGGUGAUAACAUUUCUUGGAACAUAAAGAUGAGAAUUUUAUUCUAAAAUAUUUAGAAAAAAGAUGUUUGCUUAACAUUAUAGUAUUCUCAGAAACCAUAAAAAUAAGGAUUAUAAUAGAUAAUUACACAUGAAUCUAUUCCCAUGUUCAUGGGAACUUUAUUCCCACUAGUUUCUGUGAGAAAUUUUUUCCAUUCCCAUAAACAUUUUAUACCUGCGAAUAAAAUUUAAUAAAUUUGUAACAAACAUAGACAUGCAUAUGUCUAUUGUUUUAUUCCCAAAAAUCUACAUAGAUAACUUGAAAUAAACGUACCCUUAAAUUUAAUUAUUUACUGAAAAGAAAAAUGUGAUAAGGAAUCUGUUUCUACACCUCCAGGAAACACUAUCUCUUUUUCUUUUACGGAUCAAAGCUACAUUAUUUAGUUCCGUAAAUACAAUUUGAAUGGUAAAAAAUUUAAAGAUAUUUGAUUAAUUGGAGUGCGAGUUUGAAUAUAUAAUUCUUCACUUUAAAUGUUUUAAAGUAGAAUUGAUUUUUUUUGUAAAAUUAAUUCUACUCAAAGCUAAAUGUCGAGGCACGAAUAUUGUUCAAUUCACUUUUACUUAAAUAUAAUAAAACAUAUAUUAUUUUACAUUUAAUCAGAAUUAACUGUACAAAAUUAAUUCAUUUAGAAUCAAAUUUUUGUUGUGUAGCAUAAACAAACACACACUAAAUUACGUAGUUUGAUUUCUUUAUUAAAAAAAAGAAAGAGUAAAAUGAUUUCAUAUUUUGUCUUCAUUCCCAUUAGUUUGUUAUUGUCUUUGUAAUAAAAAAAUUAAAAAAAAUAUUUUUUUUCACUACGUAAAAACUUCACGUAGAUCUUUUUAUCAUUAAUUAAUUCGUGCGUGGUUAUGUACGACUGAGUCUCCUUAUUUUAGGAUAACGACUUCAAAUCUUUCAUACAUCAAUCUUCACCAAACUUUAACGGUGUGUUUGGAUGUAAGAUGAAAAUGAAAAGUGAUAAACAGAUGAGAAAGAGUGUGAGAAGAGAGAAAGCGAUAAGCAAUACAAUAGAUUUGUAGCAUUGAUUAGUAUAAAAAUGAGAAGAGAAAUAUAAAAAAAAAAAACAGAUAUUUUAUUCUUUGAAAAAGACAAAAACAACCUCCAUUAAAAAUAAAAUAGUAAAAUAUCGCUACUAUAUUAUGCUAUCUAAAGUUUGUCAUAAAAAUUAUCCUAUAUUAUAAUUUAUUAGUAUAAUAAUAAAUCUCAUGAAAUAAAGUGAAAAAUUAUUUACUUUUUCAUUGUGCUGUAAAAAAGUACUCCAUGUUAAUCAAUGUAUAAAGCAUUUAAAAGAAAGGGGCAUAAUUGGAAAUAUGCAAUAAAUAGGUUGCUCUAUUGGACUUUCAGGAUUGAAAAAACUGUCGGUACCAAAAAUUAAUUCGAACUUGAAUUAUUUCUUUUAACGCAACUUUAGAUGGCUCCUUGUGACUUUAAUUAAUAAUAUCAAACAUUUAUCUUGUAAAACAAGGUAGGACCUACCAAUAUGUCACUUAGUCAUGGAUUUCUAGACUAAUUCACAUUUUUAGAAUCGAAUUCAAGAUUGUCGACAUCACAAAGAGAAUUGACCCAAUAAAUAAAUAUCAAAAUACUUGAGCUAAAUAAAUAAGUGAGAUUUUGCAAACAAGGUAGGUCCUACCAAAGUUCUAUAAAUAGUAACCCUCAAUGUGUUAUAAACCGCAUCACAAACUAAAAUAGUAGCAUUAUUCAUAUUAUACAUUAAUUUCUCCUUUCAUUUACUUAUUGCAUAUUGAUCCUUUUUAUCUUGAUAUAUAUCAUGGGUUCUUUUGUUUUCAUUGAUGAACAUGUCUCAACUGUGGCUCCAGCUAAACUUUACAAAGCACUUGCAAAAGAUGCUGAUGAAAUCAUCCCAAAGGUGAUUCCAGCUGCUCAGAGUGUUGAAAUUGUUGAAGGAAAUGGAGGACCUGGCACCAUUAAGAAGUUAUCCAUGUCUGAAGGUAAUUGAUUAAGAUUAUAUAACAUUUACACAGUUGAAUUUUUGGGACUAGAGUUGAUUGUUGGUAUAUUGAAAUGAGAUUCAACAAUCAAGUAAUUAACGAUAUCCAGUUACGUUCAGAUUGAUCAAUGACUUAAACAAUUUUUAGUCAAACUUUAUUUAAAUUUGAGGGAACAAAACUUAUAUAAAUUAUGAUGGUUUAAUUGUAGGUGGUAAAACCGACUUUGUGCUACACAAAUUAGAAGCAAUGGAUGAGGCAAACUUGGGAUACAACUAUAGCAUAGUAGGAGGAACAGGAUUGGAUGAAAGUUUAGAGAAAGUUGAAUUUGAGACAAAUAUUGUGGCUGGAUCUGAUGGUGGAUCCAUUGUUAAGAUUUCAGUGAAAUAUCACACCAAAGGUGAUGCAGUUCUAUCUGAAGCUGUACGUGAGGAAACUAAGGCCAAAGGAACUGGACUUAUCAAGGCCAUUGAGGGUUAUGUUUUGGCAAACCCUAAUUACUAGCAAAUUAAACAUUUGCUUUAAUAAUAAUUAAAGACUAUGAUAUGGUUGAAUGUGUGUUGGAUAUUUUGAGGUUUGAGUGUUGUUUUGAGUGUUUAAAAACAAAAACCAAUGUUGUGUUGGUGAUGAGGUUUUGCACCAUCUGUAUUAUGUAAUAAAUAAUGCAAAAGAAUUUUCUAGCACUUUCCGUUAUUUUUUUAGAGGAAUAGCACUUUACAUCAUUUUAAUUUAAUUUAGGAUAACAUCAAACUAAUAGUGCAUGUGGUUUUCAAUUGGUUGAAUUUUAAACUAACACUGUCUACGGUUCGAUUAUUUAAACAGUUUGGUUGAGUUUUGUCUUGAAUUGAUUUGAGCAAAUUAAAGCAAUUGAAUCAUGUUUUGAAAGUCUCAUCAUCUUGUCCAAUAUGAUUUUUAAAACAAAACCUACUGGUUUGAUAAACCGUUAAAAGGGAAUUAGAAUACAUCGAAACAACACAAAUUUUUAUGAUACUAAAAUUAAAGAAGAUAAAAUUGUGAAUACCUAUAAAAGUCUCACAACACCCUAAUUUCUUUUUUCUUUUUUAAAACACAUGUAAGUUAAUAACAUAAAAGGAUAAAAAUACCUAUAAAUACGACAAAUAAAGCAACUAAAAUACUAUAUGCAGAGCCUACCCAACAUUUUGGUAGGCCUAAAGUGAAUUUUUUAUUGAUGCUUUUUAAAGUAAAAUAUUAAACUUUGUUGAACCCAAGGUUUGAACCAAAGAUGCAGAGGAUUUGAGACCUCUUCUUGACGAACUAAAGUUAUGCAAGCAUUUAUAAUUAUUUUAUCAUAUUAUGUAUUUAUAUCUAAAGUUGAUAUGGUCAUUGCGUAUCCACGAGGAUUUGAGGCCUCUUUGUUGCUGCCUACCCACGAGGUUUAAUUUGCAAAAUCAUGGAGUCCAUUGUCUGUCACUUGUGUGGUUUGUAAUAAUGAUUUGAAAGAUCAAAUGCACAUGUUUAUGCACUGUAAUUUUGCUACUGAUUGUUGGAAAGAAGUAAAUCUUUGGGCAAGAUAAAGUCAUACAUAACGUCAAAUGAUAGUUUUUCAUCCAUUAUCUUUGAUAUUCUUGUAGCUAUUUAUUGAGUGUUUGGCAUGCACGUAAUGCUUGUUUAUGGGAGGAAAAACUUGUCGAUGCACAUACAUCUUGCGUCCUGGAAUUAGAUACAGUUCGAGAUUACGUGUGGUGUCAUCGUCUCAACGAUGUUGUGCAGUCUGCUACUCCAACUUAGUCCAAACUGCAGGCAGAUUGGAUCAAGUCUUACAUCGAUUGUGUUCUUUUUGAAGCUGAUGGAAAAUUUAGUGUUGGUAUCUGUUUUCGAGACCGCCUUAUCCAAGAACUAUUCCAUCCUAUAGCAAGAAGCUUAGAUAUUAUCUUAUAAAGCACAUUACAUAAUGAAAUUACCCUCCAUUCCUUCAUACUAGUUGGUUUUGUCACAUUUAGGAAUAAGGCAAAUAUUAUUAUCAUUCAAUUAAUGUGCUCGGAAAAUAACCUAUAUAUAACCACAUAUUCACAACUUCAAAAAUUUCAUCACUACAAAGAUUCCAAAACCUUGAAAAAAAAAACCCGGAUUAAAACCAUGAAGACUCGAUGACUUAUUUGAAUGCAUUUGAAAUAACGUAAGUUUCAGCUCCUCUUUAGUAAACGGUGCUAAAAUAAGGUUGUUGUUUGCAUCGGUUAUCUUUGGUUGAAGGUGACAACUAGGCUACCCAUGAAAGAAUGAUGGGUAAUUUACCCUAACCAAUACACAUUAGCCACAUAAGCACAUAUUCAUGAACUAUCUUGACCCCACAAAUAAAUUGUUCAUUUUCAUUGGUUGGUAGGUAAAUUACCCACCAUUCUUCAAAAGUAAUUUAAAAAGAACCUUGAUGGAAUCAUACCAAUCAUUAAAAUUUUCAAUAUCACAAUCAUUUACCGCCUCCUUAAACCCAAGAUAAAUCCAAUUAGGAUGGGAAUGUUGGCCUCGAAUAUUCUCUUGAGAUAAAAUAUCAUUAAAAUUUCUUAUGAUACACCAAGGCAUAUGAGACAUGUCCCUCAACUCUCUGAGACAUGUCCCUCAACUCUCUGAGCAUAUUCCAAGAAUCUCUUCUUCGACCUCCUUUUGGGUAACCAUAAAAAUCAGUUAACAUUGAUUCUCUUUUUAUUGUAUCUUCCACAAUUAAAUUGAUAUUGUUUAUAGAGUAAUUAAGAAUUUUACACAAGCUAUUAACUUUUCAUAUCACUGCUAUCUAGGGGUGGGAUUAGGUCGAGUCGGGCCAAACUUUACUUAAAUAGGUCAGAUCUAAUUUAAAAAGUUAAAGCCUAGGCGACCUAUUAGCUUGUCAAAGACUUUAUUUUAAGUCUAAGCUUUUUAAAAGUCUAGCCUAAUAUUGUCAAAAAGCCUAGUUUAUGCUAAGAAUUUUAAAUAGAAUAUCUGUUCUAUUUAUAAAAAGGCUAAUAAACAUAUAUUUCUUAGAAGAUUAAUAUGCCAAUAAAAUUUUGUAGAGCUUGUAUAUCAAUUUUGUUUCACUCUGUAAGCAUAUAUUGCAUGUAAAUCGAAUAUAAUUUGGUAAGGCCUCUACAUCAAUUGUAUAGAGGCUAUUAGCCAUAUAUGGGCCGAAAAUUUAUUAAUACAAUGGAGGAGUAUAUAUAUAUAUAUAUAUAUAUAUAUAUAUAUAUAUAUAUGAGGAGGGAUAUUUUGACUUCAAGAGUAAGUUUAUAGACUUAUUCCAAAUCUCCACCUUUCAUCUUAUUUUAAUCUAAUAGUUUAAAUGUGAGUUUUAAUUGUUAAUCAUGUGACCAUUUUUUUGGAUCUCAUUCUUAUAAAUAUUUUCUCCAUUUAAUCUCCCUUAUUAAUUAAUGUAAUAAAUACCUCCCCAAUUUUAUUUUAUUUUUUGGCGCACCUUUGCCAAUUCAAAAAGUGUUUUUUAAUCUUUUUCUCCAACAUUAGAGCAAGGUUGCAGUUUGAAAUAUAAAUUAAAAUGUAAGCUUUCCACUCUCACCUCUUGAACCUAUGGAUGAGAAGAUUUUUUUUAUUGAAAUGUAAAUCAAAAAGGAAAGAAAUGAGAUUGAGAGCCAUCAUGUAGAAUUGAGGUUGGAGUGAAACGGAGAGCCAUCACUCUAUAUCCUAUUGUGAUUUAUAUGAUUAUCCAAUCAAAGAAAUUGGGUGUAUACAAAAUCAAUUGGGUGAGUUAGGGUACAAAGCAUUAGGAGGAAAUUUUGUUGUUUUCUGAGAGUUAAAAUAAAUAAAAAAGUAAUUAAGGGAUAAAUGAAAUUUGUUUUAUGAGAAUAAAAUAAAAAAACUUAAAAGUGUGUUUAUGAGAGAAAGGAAAUUUGAUUUAUGAGAAUUAAUUAAGGGAGAAUAAUUGGAGAAGGUAUUUAGAUCCACAAAGAUGGUCAUAUGAUUAACAAUUAAAACCCACAUUUAAGCCAUUAGAUUAAAAUAAGAUGAAAGGUGGAGAUUUGGAGUAAGUCUAUAAACUUACUCUUGGAGUCAAAAUAUCCUCUCUCUCUCUCUCUCUCUCUCUCUCUCUCUCUCUCUCUCUCUCUCUCUCUCUCUCUCUGUAUAUAUAUAUAUAUAUGAGAUAUGAGAUAGAAUCCGUUGACACUUUAUAUUGACACCAAAUCAUAUCCCUUGAUUUCAUUUGAUCCAAUAGCUCCUAUUAAUUCACUUAACCUUGUACCUAUGUGUGAUGCACUGAACCACACCGUCGUCUUCAUUCUCACGUUAUACGUACGCCGUCUGCUAUCUGCAGUUUUCGUUCAUCUCUUCUCCCCUUGCACACCUUCACAAAUGCUUCAUCUAUAUUAUGUGUUGCUCCUAUCGAAAUUAAAACCCACUAUUCAAUUAGUGGUGGAUAUGAGUUAAAACCUUGUACGCUAAUUCUUCAAAUGGAUCCUCUAAGAUUAAUUCCUCAAAUUUUUUGAUUAGAUUUAUGAAAUCAAUAAUAAUUGGAUGACGUUAGAAAACCGAUGGACAUUAUUUAUUGAUUUGCUUCAAUUUGUGCAAUUUUAGGUGAGAAAAAGAAAUUGCAUAUCAGAAUGCAUAAUAUAAAAUAAAAAAUUGUGGGUUUGGUAAAAUGAAAAACUAUGUAAAUUAAAAUGAAAACCAAGAGUUGUUUCCUUUGUUUGGGUAUGGACAAGGAAGUAGCCAAGAUACAAGAGACAACAUUUUUCCAUUGUUGUUCCUGUAUACUUUGUUCAGCAAGAUUGAAAAGGAACAAAAAGAAAAUAAGAGUGCACAUUACAGUGAAAAAGGCCUAUGUUAGUUGAUUUAGUAAAUAAUUAUAAGCCUGUUACAGUGAAAAAGGCCUAUGUAAGUUGAUUUACUUUUUUUAUUCUGAUCUAUUUAAAUUAAUGGUUUUUUUAAAAAGCUUGAAUCUGACUUAUUUACUAAACAAGCUAAACCGGUCUGGGUUUUAAGUAAGUCGAGUUAUAAGCCCCUAACAAACGGUCUGGCUUAUUUUAGGAUUUAGGGUUUACCCAAAUGAUCCCUCCACUUCUCCCUUCAACAUAUAUAGCACAACAAGAAUCAAAACCAAACCUAACUCGUAAGAAUUCUAUAGUCAUUGCUUUUGCCAACGUCUCGUACAAAUAAAGAAUAUCAAGAUUUUAUUUUUGGUUAAUAAAAAGUAGUAAUGCUAAAGGAAGAGACAACCCCAAAAAAAUUAGCUCUAAUAUUUAAUGUAAUACUACUAUGCAUGUAGUAGGAAUAAAUGGGAAACGUAUGCUCUUUUUUUUUUUUUUUGUUACCUGGGAAACGUAUGUUUGAUUGUUUAUUGAAUAGUAGAAAAUUGUUGUAAAGGAAUUCUUUUUUCGACGUUAUAAAGGACUCUCUUUAUGCAUCUCCAAUAAACACUAUCUAUACUUUGUAAAAAGAAUACAAAAAUAAAUGUGAGCAUUGAUAGGGAUAUGAUAGCAUCUAGGAAUCGGGUUCCACCUUAGUUUCUUCUCCUUUAUCCAUUACUAACAUAUGAUUUAUGGUCAAUUUUCAACCUCAAAGAGCAUUCCUUUAAUAAAUAGUUUCCCGUUUUUUUUUUUAUUAUUUAAAUAAUCGAUUUUCACAUCUAUUUAGUUUAUUUCUCUAAUUUUUUCAUCAUCUUAGUGCGACGUUAUUUUGUUUGUCGUCUUUGUGUGACAUUGUUUAUCUUUAUUGUCUUGUUUAGAUGUUUGUUUCAUUCAUAUUGUCAUAUCAAGUUUGAUGCAGUGCAUGUUCAAUCAAUGAUUUAAAAAUUGUCAACGUUGUUGUGAGUUUGUUCGUGGAUUCAUCAAUUUUGUUUUUAGCAAAUUCAUAUUGUAUCGGUGUACUCUAUCAAUUUGAAUGAAUAAUAUCAUUUAUUACUAAAAAAAAGUACCGGGUACAAACUUUAAAUUUUCCGUUUAGUUAUCUUAAAGUGAAUUUUUAGCCACUAAAUUAUUUUAUUAAAAAAAAUCACUAUAUAUAAUGAUUAAAAUUAUAAGCGUAAUUUCAGGAGUGAACAUAGACCUUUAUUCAAAAGGGAAUGAACAUAGACGUAUAAUUAAAGGAGAACGAUAUUUCAUUGUCAUUAAUUUGUUUAUUGUCACUACGUGAAUAUUUUCUAAUUAUUUCGUGGGUGACUGCGACUGAGUCUAUUCAACAAAAAACAAAAAUCUACCGACUAAGUCUUCUUAUAAUUCCAAGACAUCGACUUUGAAUUUUUGAUACAACAAUGACCCAAUCUCACCCAAUCUUAAGAGUACUAUCAUAAUUCAUACAAAAUAGGUCAUAUUUUUCGGUCCUUAAAUAGGUCAUAUUAUAUUUUUCGGUCCUUAAAAAAAAUUGAUAUUUGAUUUUUUAAAAUUAAAUUAACAAGGGUAAAAUUGAGAUAAAAAGUGAUAAACUGUAAGUUAUAAGAUAUUUGAAGCAGCUUAAGAAAAAUGGUAUAAGCUCGAAAAAGAAAGUUAUAACUCGUGAGAAAACUUGUUUGCUAAAAAAAUAAAAAAUAAACUCGUGAGAAAAAAAAUUGUUAACAGACAUGUUUUAUCUUAGUCAUAUGAGAUCAUAAAUUAUAAAUUAUUUGUUAUAAGUGACAUUAACCCAAGAACAAUUUCGUAAUAGUGUAUAUAAAAUAAAAUCAUUAAUUAAUAUGGUAAUUCAGAAUAUUUUGAUUGAUUUUGGAUGUAAAACUGUUUUGGACCGUUAAUCUACCACUAUUAAACUCUUAAUACAUUACCAAUUUUUGUUAAUAUGCAAUUGCAUAAUAAAUUAUUUGUGAUUAAGAUAUCAACUGUUAAUUUCUCAAUUUACUGAUUACACGCUUUAGAAGAAUAAGUAAAUUAGCAUUUUAGUUCUCGGAAUAAUAAAGGACAAAUUAUUUAUUCACUAAAAUUUGUGAAAUAAUAAUUAAUCAAUUAAAUAAAAUAAUACUAUCAAUUAAUUCAGUUCCUCAUAUCUUAUGAAAAAUAAAUCAUCAACAUUUAUAAAAGAUUUGCAUGUUGACUUUUUUAAUUUGUAAAGUUCUAACAUAAAUAACGUGGUAAUUUGAAGUUCGAUAUAAUGUUAAGUGAAGUAUGAUAAAUGAUUGUUUUAAGUCAUGAUUCGAACUCAGUUUUUUUCGAACAAUUUAUCUUAAACAAAAGUUAAGUGAGCACUUCAGCUCAACCGCUCGACUGAAUUAUAUAUUAAUUUAUGUUUUUUAUACAAAAAUAAACGAUAUUCAUUCAUUUAAAUUGAUAUAGUACAUCGAUACAAUACGAAUUUAAAAUUGCUAAAAACAAAAAAGGAUGAAUCUACGAACAAACUCAGAGUAUCCAUGUUAAUAGCAUAAAACGGUAGAGUAUAUAUGCCUACAAAUAUACCUAUCAAGCCACUGAAAUACUCAUGUUUCGGAUCUGCAACGUUGACAAUGCAAAAGUCAUUGAUUGAAUCUGCAUUUGAUCAAAGCUAAUCUUUCAACCUGAAUCAAAUAAAAACCGCAUUAAGACAUGAAUAAAAAACACACCGCACAAAGACGAGAAAUCAAAAUAAAUAAAGUUGUGCUAGAUGACGAAUUCACAAAACCAACAAAAGAAAGGUGAAAAUAUGUGAAAAAUUACUUAUUUAACUAAAAGAGAAAGAGAAACAAUUCAUAGGGGUGAUUUCGUGUCAAAAUUGAUAGUAAGUCACACCUUUUUGGUAGAUGAAGAAGAAAAAAAGUCGUGUGACUAGGGUUUAGGAAAGGAAAAGUGAGAGAAUUUCUACCUUAUAUAAUUGAUUUUUUUAUGUUUUAAAACCAAGACAUUUUCUACACGCGACUACGACAACUAAUCUCUCAAUGUAAACGAAAUUCAUCGUAGAAGUUGUCAUCUCUCAAUAUAUAUUAUCUAUACACAAUGAUCAACAGAUUAAAAUAAUGACCACAUAGCCGAGAGACUCAAAUAAAUAUUCAUCAAUUUUGUUACACCAUAUUGGUAUAUAACUUUCAACUAUGUGGUGUUAAAGUCUGAAAACACGACUAAUUAACUAAUACACUUUAAAGUACUAAAGUAUUACUAUUUAACGAAUUUUAGGACCCACCAUGACACCAUUGCAAUAAUUUCAAUUGGAAAAAUAUUUAGCACCGUUUGGUCAGACUUUUUUCGGUCUAAAAAUUAUUUUAAAACAAAGUUAAAAUAAAACUCUUUAAGGAAAAAGUUAAAGUUGUUUGGUUUCUUUAUUUUUUUUAGUUUUUUUUUGAACAAGCCAAAAUGGAAUUAUAUAAACAAAAAGGCAGUCCCAAACGCACAAGGUGUGCCCUAGCGACUACCUCCAAAACCAAGAGUUACAAGAAUUACAACCAAGCCACAACAGAAAGACAUUAGCCAAUACCCAAACAAACAAGAGGGUUUGACCACCACUGCUGAGUUCCAAAAACAAAGGUAGCUUUUUUAACUUUAAGUCAACCUAAAGACAACAUCUUAAUCUUAUCUAAUAAACAAGGGAUGGGGGUAACAACAUGAUUAAACAGACGGUUAUUUCGUUCAUUCCACACAACCCAGGCACAAAGAAGCCAAAUAAGUUGCAUAAAAGAACGUCUAGCAACACCACCACCUGUCAAAUGAGUAAACUGUAAAAAAUGAUCGGAAAUAUUAUAUGUGUCCACCCCAUAGCAACCAAUCCAAUCACGCACCAGAUGCCACAGAGAGCCAAAAGUAUUACACAAUAAAAAGAGAUGUUGCACCGAUUCAGGAUGACCACAACCAGUAACACACGAGGACAUGUCAUGCGACAACACCCGUCUAGCAAUCAAAUUAGUCCUUGUUGGUAAACGAUCUCGGAUGAGCCUCCACACGAAAACGAACACCUUCAAGGGAACCUGUUUGUGCCACACCAAAUCCAAAGCAUAGUCCGCUACCUGAGGAACCUGAGAAGUCAACAAACUAUAUGCACCAUGAACAGUGUAACCACCAGAUGGGUCCGGAAGCCACACCCAGCUAUCUGAAACAUUAGGAUCCAAAGAAACAUCAAGAAUUAAAGCCCUGCACUCCUCUAGCAAGUCCUCAUCCCACUGCCAUAACCUACGUCUCCACCUCCACACAUCCCCCCACUGCUCCGAAUCAACAGAAAGCAAGUCCGCCACGAAUAUAGACUUAUUCUCUGUUAACUCAAACAACCGACUAAACCUCACACGAAGAGGAGCCUCCCCUAUCCACCUAUCGAACCAAAAUGAUGUAUCUGCCCCAUCACCAACUCUCCUCAACACCUGAUCCUCAAACCAGCCGCUACCACCAACACCAACCCUACCCCUAAGACGACUCACCUCCGACCACCAACAAGAAACUCUCCGGCCCCCAACCUGCCACCUAAUUCGCCAUAUCUGGCAACUAAAACCCUAUACCACAAAUCACCUCUAUCAACCAACAACCUCCAACACCAUUUCCCUAACAAUGCUAUAUUAAACUCCUUCAAUCUCCUCACCCCCAAACCGCCACACUCCUUUUUUAAACAAACAGUUUGCCAACUUAACCAAGAUAUUUUCCUAUUAUCCUCACUCCCCCCACUGCUCCGAAUCAACAGAAAGCAAGUCCGCCACGAAUAUAGACUUAUUCUCUGUUAACUCAAACAACCGACUAAACCUCACACGAAGAGGAGCCUCCCCUAUCCACCUAUCGAACCAAAAUGAUGUAUCUGCCCCAUCACCAACUCUCCUCAACACCUGAUCCUCAAACCAGCCGCUACCACCAACACCAACCCUACCCCUAAGACGACUCACCUCCGACCACCAACAAGAAACUCUCCGGCCCCCAACCUGCCACCUAAUUCGCCAUAUCUGGCAACUAAAACCCUAUACCACAAAUCACCUCUAUCAACCAACAACCUCCAACACCAUUUCCCUAACAAUGCUAUAUUAAACUCCUUCAAUCUCCUCACCCCCAAACCGCCACACUCCUUUUUUAAACAAACAGUUUGCCAACUUAACCAAGAUAUUUUCCUAUUAUCCUCACUCCCCCCCCCCCCCCAAAAAAAAAAAAAAUUAAUAAACAAAGAUUCAAUAGAGGAGAUUAUACCUGAUGGAGCUUUGAAGAAGGAAAGUGCAUAGACAGGCAAAGAGGUCAGGACAGAUUUGAGAAGAACCAAGCGACCACCAAAAGAUAGAAACCGACUAUUCCAACCUGACAGUCUAGAUUUAAUACGAUUCACAAUAGGUUCCCAGAAACACAAUCUUCGAGGAUUACCACCAAUAGGCAUACCCAGAUACAAGAAAGGAACGUUACCUACUUUACAACUCAACACGGAAGCAGCCUCAUGUAACCAAGACGACGCAAUAUUCACCCCAACAAGCAUACUCUUAUGAAAAUUCACUUUCAACCCCGACAUAGCCUCGAACAACACAAGGGCCGCCCUUAAAGCACGAACAUUAGCCCAACUUUUAGUUCCUAACAACAAAGUGUCAUCAGCAAAUUGGAGGUGAGAUACAACAACCGGAUUAACCACCCCAAUGCUAUAGCCAGAGAACAGUUGAGCCUCAACCAAAGAUUUCAUCACAACAUUAAGACCCUCCGCGGCCAACAAAAACAAAAAAGGAGACAAAGGGUCACCUUGUCUUAACCCUCUCAUCAACGGGAAUUCAUCAGUUGGACUUCCAUUAACUAAGACAGACGCUGUGGCAGUGCUAACACACUCUUUGAUCCAAUUCCUCCAACGGGAAUUCAUCAGUUGGAAUUCAUCUUUAAAAGUUGUUUGACAAAAUAUUGUAUACCAAAUUUUGUUAUAAGAAUAUCAUAUUUUUGGUGUCAUUUAAAAAGAUAAGAAUUUAUAUUAUAUGAUAUUAUAUUUGUUACAUUGUUGGUGUCAUUGAAAAAGAUAUGUUUAGUUUUUUAAUAAGAAAAAGAUAUGCAUAGUUUGUUACAACAUAAAUGUGUAAAGUAUAUAUAAGUAUAAUUUUUUAGGUAUCUAUACUAGUACUUUUAAUUAAAAUCAAAAUUUUAUAAAAAUAAUAAUUGUACGCAUUGCGCAACACUGAAAAAAUUAUACCCAUUAGCAUAACAAAAAAAAACAGACAUACAGACAUAAAAUAUUACUCUAAACGCUAAUGUGUGUGUGUAUAUUUGUGAGGUUGAAAAAAGGGAAUAAAAAUAUUUGGUGUCAUUCAAUGACAGCAUGAAUAAAAAUAUUUGUGAGGUUGUGAUAAUUAAACGAUAUUAAAAUUAAAUAUAUAAGUGAUAAAAAGAUAAUAAAACUCCUUCAAAAAUAGAUAAUUAAAUUGAUCCUCCUUUAAAAAAAAAUUAUAUGGACCGGUUCAAAAAAAAUUAAAUUGAAGAAAAAACAAAUUGAAAUAUAAUAUUAAAAAAUAAAAUAUAAGGUUGCUGCGUGAGUUGAAGAGGAGUGCUUGUGAAAUAAAUUACAAAGAAGUAGUUUUUUGAAGUAGCAUUCAACAACUUUUGGUUAAAGCUCAUUCCAUUCAAAUUUUAUGCAUUCUAAAAAAAGUACUUUUUUUCGAAGGUAUUUUAUUGAUAUUGUGUUUGGCGUAGCUUCUCCUUAAAAAUGUAGAAAAGUUGAAGAAAAAAAAAAAGUCGGGUCAAACAGUACUUUAAUAUACUCAAUUAAAGUUACUAAUGUACUGGCAAGUAACUUUUAGAGGAAGAUUUUCUUUUUUUAAGGAUUUUAGAGGAAGCUUAGCAACACACUUUUAAUAUACAUUUUUCUAGAAUUUUUUUUUAUUGAUUAAAAUUCAUAUAUAUCCUCAUAAAUCAUGUGGAUUUCAUAUAAUAUAAUAGAAGACACAAAUUUUAACCGACAAAUAGAGUGUAAAAAAUAGAGAAAUGAUAUUUGUACAACCACUUUGUGAUAAUUUUUGGACAAUUUUCUCUCUCAUACUCAUAUUAUAUUCUUACUCUCUUCUUUUUUCUCUCUCCAUUAUUUUUGACCAAUGAAAAGAGAGAAAAGAAAGAUUGUCAAAUAGGUUGUACCAAAUGGUUGUUCAAAUAGGUUGUACCAAAUGGUUGUUCAAAUAUCAUUUCUUUAAAAAAUAUAAGCAUUAAAGAGUUUGUUGUUAACAUUAUUUUAAUUUUUUUUAUGUAAUCCACACUUUGAGUCAUGGAGUGCUUUACUAAUUCAUUUUGUUUUUCGCAACCCAAUUCAAGAUUGUCUAGAAACAAAGAGGACUGACCUAAUAAAUAAAUAUUAAAAUAAGCUACUUGAGCUAAACAAUGAGAUUUCCAAACAAGGUAGGUCCUACUCAAGUUCUAUAAAUAGCAUCCCUCACCAUGUCAUAAACCGCAUCACAAGUUAUAUACUAGUUGUAUUUUUAUUAUAUACUUCUCCUUUCAUUUUCUUCUUGCAUAUUAAUCUUCUUUAUCUUAAUAUAUAUCAUGGGUGUUUUUACUUUCAAUGAUGAACAUGUCUCAACCGUGGCUCCAGCUAAACUAUACAAAGCUCUUGCAAAAGAUGCUGAUGAAAUCGUCCCAAAGGUGAUUUCUGCUGCCCAAAGUGUUGAAAUUGUUGAAGGAAAUGGAGGACCAGGAACCAUUAAGAAGUUAUCCAUUGUUGAAGGUAAUUAAGAGCAUAUACGACGUACAAAUAUAUAAUACUUAAGAUCAAAUGAUACAUAGUGUUCACGUAAAAUUGUUUUACACCGACAACCAAUCAAAUUUAUCAGUACAACAAAGAAUUGUGUAACUACCUUUUAUUUAAAAAUUGAUAAAUAUGAUGUGACAAAUUGAAGAGUUGUGAUUGAUUAAAUGAUUCACAAAUAACUAAGUUAAAUUCAUUAUACCAAAUAAAAGUAAGUUAAAUUCAUUAUACCCAAAAAAAAAAAGUAAGUUAAAUUCAAGUGUAUCAAAAAAAGUCAUUCAAAUCUAUUUGGAUAGUUAUGGUAGUAGCCAUUUAUGUUAUACUUUUAUUUUUAAAAUAGAAUCUUGAGAAAUGAAGGAGACAAUACAUAAGCUCGUUCCAGGAGUAUGUCUAACAAUUAUGGACCUUCAAAAACAUGAUUCAUGUGAUUAACGAUACUCGGUAAAGUUCAAAUCGAUCUUUAAAUGAAAGAGUUUUUAGUUAAACUUUACUUGUAUCGAAAAAAGAAUUAUAUAAAUAAUUAUAAUGGUUGUAUUGCAGAUGGCAAAACCAACUUUGUGCUACACAAAUUAGAUGCAGUAGAUGAGGCAAACUUUGGAUACAACUAUAGCUUAGUAGGAGGAACAGGAUUGGAUGAAAGUCUAGAGAAAGUUGAAUUCGAGACAAAAAUUGUGGCUGGCUCUGAUGGUGGAUCCAUUGCUAAGAUUACAGUUAAAUAUCACACCAAAGGUGAUGCAACUCUAUCUGAUGCAGUGCGUGAUGAGACUAAGGCCAGAGGAACUGGACUUAUCAAGGCCAUUGAGGGUUACGUUUUGGCAAAUCCUGAU
rnacentral:lncRNA from 1 species